rnacentral:lncRNA from 1 species
CUUGGGCAAAGGCAUCACAGCCGCAGACAUUUCUGGCUAGAAAAAGACUGACACACUAGAGAUUGCACUGGCAUGUGCAUUGGAAUACUCUUCAAUAAAAUUCAUCCUUGUGAAAGUAUACCAUAUGGUGUCAUCAGUAAAUUACUGUAAAAAGGAUAAUUGGAUUUUGAAACCAUAAUUCUCUGGACUAAAGACACUGGGUGCCAUGGAAAGGAAAGGAGACACCUGGAAAUGAGAAGAUGGACUCUUGCCCUAUCGCCCAGACUGGAGUGCAAUGGAGUGAUCUCGGCUCACUGCAGCGUCUACCUCCCCGGUUCCAGCGAUUCUCCUGCCUCACUCUCCUGAGUAGCUGGGAUUACAGGUGUAUACCACCAUGCCAGGCUAAUUUUUUGGAUCUUUAGGGGAGACAGGUUUCACCAUGGUGGCUAGGCUGGUCUGGAACUCCUGACCUCGUGGUCCACCCACCCUAUCCUCCCCAAGUGCUGAGAUGACAGGUGUGAGCCACCUUGCCCAGGCCAUCCAAUAGUUUUUUUCUUUUUUCUUUUUAGAUACACGGUUAGUUUUUCUUUCUUAUGUAAAAAUUGACCCCUCAUUUCCAUUGUGUAAAUCACUCAUAAAUAUCAUUUUCUGUGACUCAUCCUCCAGCAAAGAAAGAUACAUACAUAUCUGUGAAGCAAUGGUUUUUUACCUUUCCAGAGUCACAGACUGUUUUCAGAAAUUAAAGAUCUGCAUUUUUUAAAUUGAAAAUGCUUUAUGGCAGGCCAAUGUACAAACUCUCCAUAUUAAAAUCGCAAAGCAAUAGAUUUGCACAGAUGUUUGCACAUGUAUACACAAAAAAACAAAUAUUGCAAAAUCAAUCUUAAGUACUGAGUUACUUUUUUCCUUUUGGAAAGUUUUAAAUAUUCCAUCGUACUUUGAUAAUACAAAUGAUACGAAGUUCCAGGCCCCAAAGUAGAAAACUCUAAUGUAUAAUGAAUAUAAAUGAGUUCUUCAGAAAACCUGUUGAGUACAGGCAAUCAGCAUUCAUAAACUCAAUUUAGUUUGAAAUGUGUGUUACUUCAAUGCAAACUUAUUACAAUUUUAAAACAAAUUUUAGAUAUUAGUCCAAUCAUUCUUAUAAUACACCUUUAAUACUUAGAAAUAAUUUUGGUGAUUAUCAAUAAGUUAAUUUUCUGUUCAUAAAGGAAAUAAAUAAAAUUGGGA